AGGGUAACUGCUGCCUUCUACCUGUAGGGGAAGCGCUUCCUCUGGAGCGGGGGAUGCAGCACCCGGAAGCAGUCAUGCCAGGCCUGCCUGAUUCCCAUCUUCUUGCCAGAGAUCUUUGAAAGUGCAGGUGGAACAGAGUUCUUGCCCCAUGGCUCCACUACCGUUGCAGUCAUAGUGAACGUGAGACCAGAUGGCAGGGAUCUGAUGAAAAUUAUUGAUUUAAAGGAUGCAGAUGAGAACCUGAAGAGCUGACUAAAAAGUAAUGACUGAAAAGCUGAGAUACUGAGCAUAGCUUCCAAAUGUCUCAUGGGGCUAUAGAGAAAAACCCUGUGUUCAUGGCCCACUGUGAAAUAAGAAUGCUAGGAAACCUCCAGGCUUUUAGUUAGGACUCCUGAAACAUGAUAGUAAGGAAUGUGAAUAUAAACAUAGGAGAAAACCAAAAAUAUGCCAGACCUCACAAAGAAUGAAGCCUGAAUUUGAAUUAGCUCAGUGGUUGAUUGAAUUAGGUCAUAUUCCUUCUUUAAACUGCCUCAUUGGAAUAAAAAGUAAAUCCUUUCUGGAGGAAAAUAACA
rnacentral:lncRNA from 1 species